rnacentral:rRNA from 1 species
GAUGAACGCUGGCGGCGUGCCUAAUACAUGCAAGUCGAGCGAACAGAUGAGGAGCUUGCUCCUCUGACGUUAGCGGCGGACGGGUGAGUAACACGUGGAUAACCUACCUAUAAGACUGGGAUAACUUCGGGAAACCGGAGCUAAUACCGGAUAAUAUAUUGAACCGCAUGGUUCAAUAGUGAAAGAUGGCUUUGCUGUCACUUAUAGAUGGACCUGCGCCGCAUUAGCUAGUUGGUAAGGUAACGGCUUACCAAGGCAACGAUCCGUAGCCGACCUGAACGGGUGAUCGGCCACACUGGAACUGAGACACGGUCCAGACUCCUACGGGAGGCAGCAGUAGGGAAUCUUCCGCAAUGGGCGAAAGCCUGACGGAGCAACGCCGCGUGAGUGAUGAAGGUCUUCGGAUCGUAAAACUCUGUUAUUAGGGAAGAACAAAUGUGUAAGUAACUGUGCACGUCUUGACGGUACCUAAUCAGAAAGCCACGGCUAACUACGUG